rnacentral:rRNA from 1 species
GGCAGCCUGCGAAAAGCUCCGGGGAGUCGGCAACAGACUUUGAUCCGGAGAUGUCCGAAUGGGGAAACCCGGCCCUAGUGGUCAUCCCUUGACUGAAUACAUAGGUCUUGGGAAGCGAACGCGGCGAACUGAAACAUCUAAGUAGCUGCAGGAAAAGAAAUCAACCGAGAUUCCCCAAGUAGCGGCGAGCGAACGGGGAGGAGCCCUGAAGUGGUUGAACGUUUAGUGGAACAGACUGGAAAGUCUGGCGAUACAGAGUGAUAGCCUCGUACACGACAAGCCUCAACCAUGAUGACGAGUAGGGCGGGACACGUGAAAUCCUGUCUGAAUAUGGGGGGACCAUCCUCCAAGGCUAAAUACUACUUACCGACCGAUAGUGAACUAGUACCGUGAGGGAAAGGCGAAAAGAACCCCGGCGAGGGGAGUGAAAUAGAACCUGAAACCGUGUGCGUACAAGCAGUAGGAGCGGAGAGAUUCCGUGACUGCGUACCUUUUGUAUAAUGGGUCAGCGACUUAAUGAUCGUGGCAAGCUUAACCGAUUAGGGGAGGCGUAGGGAAACCGAGUCUGAAUAGGGCGAUAGUCGCGGUCAUUAGACCCGAAACCGGAGCGAUCUAUCCAUGGCCAGGAUGAAGGUUGGGUAAAACCAACUGGAGGUCCGAACCCACAAAUGUUGAAAAAUUUGGGGAUGAGCUGUGGAUCGGAGUGAAAGGCUAAUCAAGCCCGGAGAUAGCUGGUUCUCCUCGAAAGCUAUUUAGGUAGCGCCUCGUAUCUCACUCUCGGGGGUAGAGCACUGUUAUGGCUAGGGGGUCAUCCCGACUUACCAAACCAUUGCAAACUCCGAAUACCGAGAAGUGCAAUUACGGGAGACAGACGGUGGGUGCUAACGUCCAUCGUCAAGAGGGAAACAACCCAGACCGCCAGCUAAGGUCCCUAAAUCUGUGCUAAGUGGGAAACGAUGUGGGAAGGCAUAGACAGCUAGGAGGUUGGCUUAGAAGCAGCCAUCCUUUAAAGAAAGCGUAAUAGCUCACUAGUCAAGUCGGCCUGCGCGGAAGAUUUAACGGGGCUCAAGCACAGUACCGAAGCUGCGGAUGCCGCAAGGCAUGGUAGAGGAGCGUUCUGUAGGCCGUUGAAGGUGUGCUGUGAGGCAUGCUGGAGGUAUCAGAAGUGCGAAUGCUGACAUAAGUAACGAUAAUGCGUGUGAAAACCACGCACGCCGAAAGUCCAAGGUUUCCUGCGCAACGUCAAUCGGCGCAGGGUGAGUCGGCCCCUAAGGCGAGGCUGAGAAGCGUAGUCGAUGGGAAGUGGGUUAAUAUUCCUACACCGUUCAUAAUUGCGAUGGGGGGACGGAGAAGGUUAGGUCAGCCGGUGAUUGGUAGUACCGGUUUAAGUGUGUAGGCAGAUCCCUUAGGCAAAUCCGGGGGGUCAAUGCCAAGGCAUGACGACGAGUUUCUACGGAGACGAAGUGAUUGAUACCAAGCUUCCAGGAAAAGCCUCUAAGCUUCAGAUUAUGAGUGACCGUACCCAAAACCGACACAGGUGGACAGGUCGAGAAGACCAAGGCGUUGAGAGAACUCGGGUGAAGGAACUAGGCAAAAUAGCACCGUAACUUCGGGAGAAGGUGCGCCCAUGGUAGGUGAAGCGACUUGCUCGUGGAGCCCAAGUGGGUUGCAGUGACCAGGCCGCUGCGACUGUUUAACAAAAACACAGCACUCUGCAAACUCGAAAGAGGACGUAUAGGGUGUGACGCCUGCCCGGUGCCGGAAGGUUAAUUGAUGGGGUCAGCGCAAGCGAAGCUCUUGAUCGAAGCCCCGGUAAACGGCGGCCGUAACUAUAACGGUCCUAAGGUAGCGAAAUUCCUUGUCGGGUAAGUUCCGACCCGCACGAAUGGC